GGGCCGUUAGCUCAGUCGGUAGAGCAGCUGACUUUUAAUCAGCGGGUCGCUGGUUCGAACCCAGCACGGCUCA
rnacentral:tRNA from 2 species